rnacentral:lncRNA from 1 species
GGCUGGCUGAGGUCGAGAAAACGUCUCUGAUGUCGGAGCAGCUGUCAGAUAAAUCCUCCUCACCGGCGCUGCCUGAUGACAUCAGCCUGGACGAGCACAGCAACUACCAGCUGCGGGACAGGGACUGUAAGGAGGAGCAGGGCAGCGCUGACCUGAGCACAGACAAGGUUGUGUGCAGAAGAUUCCAUCCUCCGAGCGAGGCCUGCAGUCCUGGGCGAGACAGACGGGAUCAUCAGCUCCAGUCUCCAGCUCACCGCGGAGAUGGCAGUCAGACGUCUUCACCUCUCUUUCAUCUCCCGGCUGAGUUCUUCCACCCCACCACUGCUGCAAUUCCACAGGGCAGCCCAGCCAUCAGAGCGGCACCGCCGGGCUCCAGACACGCAUCUCCGGCCUCAUGGGCUUCUCUCAGGUCCCCAGGGGCCAACAGCAGGGUCAUGGGCUCUCAGACGUCCCAGAGUAACUCCUCGCUGGCCACGGGCAGUUCGGUGAGCAGCCUGCAGACCAUGCUGGAGGAGGGCAUCUCUACGCUACCCCUGAUCUGCAGAACCCACAUUCCUCCUCCAGAACUCACCCAGAGACCUUGUACACCACAGACUCUGCUCAACCUCCAGGCCACCAGGGGGCGCCAGAGGAAUCAGAGCAGAUACAGUGACUGCACAAAUCCUAACUUGAUCCGACAGGACCCCUCCGAUGAGGACACUGGAUCCGGGAUUAGGACUGGAGGACCCGGUCAGGCUGGUAAUCUGGAACAGUUAUCGGAUAAUCUGAGUAGCUACUCUUUGACGUCCCUGCACCCGCCUGAUUCGCUGGCGCCGCCGUUGGCCAAGAAGUGCAACAGCACUGGGAGUUUAGUACUGGGGAGUCUAGCGGUCCGGAAUAAAGAUGGGAGGUGCCUUUAUGGAUUCGAUCUCUGGACUGAAGCAACAAGUGAGGAAACUGAGAGGGAUGCAUCCCUGGUUGGCACCAAGACGUGCAACCAGACUGUAGGUUCGGGCUGCCGUAAGAACAGAUGAAAUGCACGUUUCAGUCCAGGUAUGGGACACUGUUUGGUCUCUUCCGUGAACUCGUCUCCAUGUUUAUCUCAAAUGACACAAAUCUGUUUCCUGUUGUGCUACUGACCAGCUCAAGCUCACAGCCACAGCAACACAGUGUCUUUUCUUCUUCAGGGCAUUACACUGGACGCCUCGGAAGAGAUGCAUGGAGUAGCGUAGAAUGCUCUGGAACAUGAGGAACUGAGGAAACUCAUUCAUUCAUAGCAAAAACAGACUAGCAACCUCACCAGCCUGAGUGUGUUGCGAUCUUUAGGUGACACUGGACGUGUAGCAUGUGACGCGUUCAAAUGCAGAAAGGUGGCGUACGAUGCUGCGUUCAUUUCAUGUUGAAAUUAUUGCCGUUACAAGUGCUGUGCUUGAGAAAACCAUUUUCUCCUAAAAGCAUCUAAUCUUCCUUGAAAUGAGAC